UUUCCGUAGGUGAACCUGCGGAAGGAUCAUUAUUGUAUAACCGAGGUGCGAGGGCUGUCGCUGACCCGAAAGGUCGUGCACGCCCGAGUGCCCUCACACACAUCCAUCUCACCCCUAUGUGCACCACCGCGUGGGUCCCCCUUUGGCUUGUUCGGAGGGGGGCUUACGUUUUCACACAAACUUUGUAUGCAGUGUAGAAUGUAUUUUUUGUUUUUGCGAUCACGCAAUCAAUACAACUUUCAACAACGGAUCUCUUGGCUCUCGCAUCGAUGAAGAGCAGC
rnacentral:misc_RNA from 1 species